rnacentral:ncRNA from 1 species
AAUCUUCAGGGCAGGGUGAAAGUCCCUACCGGUGGUCACAGUCCACGACUCCCUCCUCGCGGGGGACUGAAUCGGUGAAAUUCCGAUACCGACGGUCAGAGUCCGGAUGGAAGAAGAUA